AGUGAACGCUGGCGGUAGGCCUAACACAUGCAAGUCGAACGGCAGCACAGUACGAGCUUGCUCUUACGGGUGGCGGAUGGCGGACGGGCGAGGAAUACAUCGGAAUCUACUCUUUCGUGGGGGAUAAGGUAGCGGAACUUACGAUCAUACAGGAGCCGCUCUACGGGUGAAGGCAGGGGAAAUUCGGACCUUGCGCGGUUGAACUAGCCGAUGUCGGAUUAGUUAGUUGGCGGGGUAAAGGCCCACCAAGGCGACGAUCCGCAGCUGGUGUGAGAGGAUGGUCGGCCACACUGGAAGUUGGACAGGCACCAUACGACUACGGGAGGCAGCAGAGGGGAAUAUGGGACAGUGGGCGCAAGUCUGAUCCAGCCAGACCGAGUGGGUGGAGAAGGCCUUCGGGGUGUAAAGCCCGUUUGUGGGUAAAGAAAAGCAGCAGGUUAAUACCCCGCGUUUCUGACGGUAAUCAGAGAAGAAGCACCGGCUAACUUCGUG
rnacentral:rRNA from 1 species